CUACAGAGAUACAAUAAAGAAAGACCUCCAAGAUAGACAAGCAAGCAAGCAAAUUAAAUCUGUGAAGACUCGCAGCACCAGUCUCAUCCUCCCUUGUUGUUUCUGUGUGUUGGUCUCCUAGAGGGAAGAUGGACGCUCCCAGCGCGCAGGAGAUAUCGUACAUGGAGCACGUCCAGAAGCGGCACGAAGAGAAGGGCUGUCUCUACGCCUGUUUGUUUGCGUUUUGUUGCUGCUUCUGCUGCUUCGAGACCUGUGAGUGCUGCCUCGAGUGCCUCUGCUGCUGCUUCUGAUGGAUCAAGGCCGCAGGAAGAAGAAGAGCAGCACCGUGUGAGUGCAGGUGUUCGAAGCGUGUCGUGGCUUCCUGUGAUCAAUAAGGCACGGUGUGCCAUUUGAUAUGCUGCUUGUGAGAACUCUGCUCGAGUUCCUCGUGUAUAUGUUUGUACUGUGAUCUAUGCACUCCAGUGGGUGGUGUUGGAUUUGUUUAUUAGCACUACGAAGCCUCCGUAUCUUUCUACCGUCUCAUGUGAUUGCUUGAGAACUACGCUUCAGUUCCUCGUUAAUAUAUUAUGUUGGAUUUGUUUGUCA